CACCAGAGAUGGAGCUCUUCAGUUCGGCUGGACCGGAGACAGGUGCUGCAUGGCUGUCGUCAGCUCGUGUCGUGAGAUGUUGGGUUAAGUCCCGCAACGAGCGCAACCUCGCCCUUAGUUGCCAUCAUUUAGUUGGGCACUCUAAGGGGACUGCCGGUGAUAAGCCGGAGGAAGGUGGGGAUGACGUCAAGUCCUCAUGGCCCUUACAGGCUGGGCUACACACGUGCUACAAUGGCGGUGACAGAGGGACGCAAAGGAGCAAUCCUUCGCAAAUCUCAAAAAGCCGUCUCAGUUCGGAUUGUGCUCUGCAACUCGAGCACAUGAAGUUGGAAUCGCUAGUAAUCGCAGAUCAGCACGCUGCGGUGAAUACGUUCCCGGGCCUUGUACACACCGCCCGUCACACCAUGGGAGUUGGCUUUACCUGAAGGCGGUGCGCUAACCCGCAAGGGAGGCAGCCGACCACGGUAGGGUCAGCGACUGGGGUGAAGUCGUAACAAGGUAAGCGUAGCGAG
rnacentral:rRNA from 1 species